rnacentral:rRNA from 1 species
ACCCCAGACUCCUACGGGAGGCAGCAGUGGGGAAUAUUGCACAAUGGGGGAAACCCUGAUGCGGCGACGCCGCGUGAGUGAAGAAGUAUCUCGGUAUGUAAAGCUCUAUCAGCAGGGAAGAAAAUGACGGUACCUGACUAAGAAGCCCCGGCUAACUACGUGCCAGCAGCCGCGGUAAUACGUAGGGGGCAAGCGUUAUCCGGAUUUACUGGGUGUAAAGGGAGCGUAGACGGCAUGGCAAGCCAGAUGUGAAAUACCGGGGCUCAACCCCGGGACUGCAUUUGGAACUGUUAAGCUGGAGCGUCGGAGAGGCAGGCGGAAUUCCUAGUGUAGCGGUGAAAUGCGUAGAUAUUAGGAGGAACACCAGUGGCGAAGGCGGCCUGCUGGACGAUAACUGACGUUGAGGCUCGAAAGCGUGGGGAGCAAACAGGAUUAGAUACCCGAGUACA